GGAGCUUGUUGUUGGUGGUGUUUGAAGAAGCUUUUAAAAUGAUCUGAAUGAAACUUUGGAUCCAACAUCACUGGUGGAACAAUGAUCGUCCCUUUAACUGGAAACAGAUGAAACCAGUUUGUUCUUCAGAAGCCGACAUUCAGGUUUUACUGAGUGACGUCAAAACAACAUGAAGCUGCUCCA